rnacentral:rRNA from 1 species
AGUGAACGCUGGCGGCGUGCCUAAUACAUGCAAGUCGAACGGAUUGGCGCACGGGUGAGUAAUGUAUAGCUAAUCUGCCCUACACUAGAGGACAACAGUUGGAAACGACUGCUAAUACUCUAUAGUUUAGGAUGAGGAUAUAUUGUAUCAGCUAGUUGGUGAGGUAUUGGCUCACCAAGGCUAUGACGCAUAACUGGUCUGUGCGGAUGCUCAGUCACACUGGAAGUGAGACACCAGCCGGACUCCUACGGGAGGCAGCAGUAGGGAAUAGGGCUAAAUGGGGGAGACCCUGAAGCAGCAUCGCCGCGUGGAGCAUGGCACUUUUCGGAGCGUAAACUCCUUUGGUUAGGGAAGCGGUACCUAACGAAUAAGCACCGGCUAACUCCGUGCCAGCAGCCGCGGUAAUAC